rnacentral:sRNA from 1 species
GUCACGGCAAAAUCCGUGACCGGGUUUGACAUCCCGAUUCGAAGGCGGACACACCGCCACCACUGUUUUUCUGGCGGUUUUUUU